CCUACGGGUGGCUGCAGUCGAGAAUCAUUCACAAUGGGGGAAACCCUGAUGGUGCGACGCCGCGUGGGGGAAUGAAGGUCUUCGGAUUGUAAACCCCUGUCAUGUGGGAGCAAAUUAAAAAGAUAGUACCACAAGAGAAAGCAACGGCUAACUCGGUGCCAGCAGCCGCGGUAAUACAGAGGUCUCAAGCGUUGUUCGGAAUCACUGGGGGUAAAGGGUGCGUAGGCGGUUGCGUAAGUCGAGUGUGAAAGUGGCGGGCUCAACCCGCGGACCGCAUUUGAUACUGGGGGUCUUGAGUGAAAGAGAAGGAUGCGGAAUGCGCGGUGUAGCAGUGAAAUGCGUAGAUAUCGAGAAGAACACUCAUGGCGAAGGCAGGAUCCUGGACACCGACUGACGCUGAAGCACGAAGGCGUGGGGAUCGAACGGGAUUAGAUACCCUUGUAGUC
rnacentral:rRNA from 1 species